GACGAACGCUGGCGGCGUGCUUAACACAUGCAAGUCGAGCGGAGCGGCGAACGGGUGAGUAACGCGUGAGUAACUGCCCCCCUCUCUGGGAUAACCGUUGGAAACGGCUGCUAAUACCGGAUAUUGGGGGAUGACUCGCGUCCUAUCAGCUUUUUGGUGGGGUAGUGGCCUACAAAGGCGACGACGGGUAGCCGGCCUGAGAGUGCGACCGGCCACAAUGGGCUGAGAGACGGCGCAAACGCCUACGGGAGGCAGCAGUGGGGAGUAUUGCACAAUGGUGGCAACCCUGAUGCAGCACCGUCGCGUGCGGGAUGACGGCCUUCGGGUUGUAAACCGCUUUCAGUCAUGACGCGGUAGUGGCAGAAGAAGCACCGGCUAACUACGUGCCAGCAGCCGCGGUAAUUC
rnacentral:rRNA from 1 species